UGACGUAUUCGCGAUCUUUCUGUGAAUGGUGGCCAACUAACUGGAAACGUAAUUUGAAAGGGUAGUUCUCAGAAAUUUUCCGAUUUCUUUGUCAAUGGUGCAAUUGUGUUUGACAAGGUGUCAUUCGCCAACCAAUUUCUUUCGUUGUUUCCUAAUAAAGUUGCGCUGUGUAUAGGGAAUACGGUCUCGGUGGGAUGGUCGCUGCUUCUGUCGUGGUGUUAUAGCUUUCGUAUGAUAAUGUACAAAAAAUGAUUAUGAUGACGAAUUUUACGACGGCACUUGUGUCGAUUGUACUUUUUGUUUUUGCCAUCUUUUACUGAUGUCUAAGCACAUAGGAAGAGCAGAGAAGAAUUUUUCUAUGCGGUUUCUAUUCCAUAGGGCAUGAUUAAUGGGAAGUUUGUCAGAAAAGAAGAGAAGAGUCUCAUUUCCUCGUGGACUCGAAUGAGAGCUUUUUUUACACCAGGGUGAUCGAUUUCCGGCGUAAAAUCAACUCGAUAUUGCAACAACUUUAUGUCCGGUCUUUUUGUCAAAUGGAAAUAGUUGGAUUAUAGUAAUUCAAUCUGCGAUCCUUCAGACUGUAUUUUUGAAAUGUUAAAUCUAGAGAUAAUCUUUUACUUAAAUGUUAUUCCAGUAGAUUGUGCCGGCUUUAUUGAAUCGGGCGUCAGUGGGGCGAGUAACAAGAUCAUGGCUAAGAAUUUGAUGGAAAAACUUUUCGGUUGUAUUGCCCAAGGAUUGGUUGUUUUUUGUACGGCUGAGCCCACGGCUGGGUCCAGCAUUUUCUCAACUUUCACCUGAAGCCUCUCCUCCUAAGAUUUCCUCUUGUCGUAUCUCUUGAAUUACCUGUUUGAAUAGGUUAAUUAGGGAGCUAUUUUUGGUAGGAAAUUUUGAUUUAUUAAAAGAACAUCAAAGCAACGUUGAACUAGGCCUCUUUUCAUUUGCAUUCACGGUCAGGUUCUAUUUUAUUUUCAUUUAGAAAAUACUGCUUUUUUGAAAUCCCAAAUCGCUCGUGAAAGACAUACUCAUUAAAAAUAUAUUGACGACUCUUUGAAAAGAUAAAAUACUGAUGACAUAAUGUCCACAUUAACACGUGACCCAUUUUCAAAUUUUCCUUCCGGCCGUCUUGUAUUUGUACAUCUCUCGAACGCUUUGUUCCACGUUUUUUGACGUCCGACAUUCUCACGUAAAAGUUAACGACAGGUGUUUGUUCCUUGCGCAACUUGCGAUCACUAAAACAGAACUACGGAGAAAAUUUUUCUGAGGUUUUUUUAUUGCGUCAUCGGCAUUUUGUCCAUCGGGUAAGAAGGCCUAUUUUUUACGACCAUCGGCCUUCUCCAAGUACGUCAAAAGCGUCCGACCUUAGAUGAGCGAGCGUGGCUGAUUAAAACAAAUAUUAUGCACACUUGGAUAGUCCACAUUUUCAAUCGUAUUUUUUUCGGGAUUGGUGGGCAUAGAUAAUAUUCAUAGAUUCGGGAUUGGUGGGCAAUUUGCUUAUUUUCGAAUUAUGAACUCUCCAUUCUUCUACGUUAAAUCUCUUGAUUUUCUGUCGCUUGUUUUUUAGACUUUGGCCGUAUUACUUUAAAUAAUUUCCCGAGUCGGUAAAGACUAUGAUGGUCUUUCCUAAAAGUCUAGACAUGUUAAAAUUAAAUCCUGAUCUGUGGAAACGUAAGAACCUUAUUUUCUUGGCAAACAAAAGAAAUGGGAAUACAAAACAAGCCAAAAAAAACAAUUAACCUGAGAUGAGGUCCCGUUGUGAGCUCUAUCCUUUUCUUGCGGGCGUCUUGGUAGAUGUUGCUGCAGCUCGCGGGAACUUCUCUUGACACCACGCCUUUCUGCGUCUGACAUGGUCGAUUCUUUUUUUUCAAAACUGAUAGAUUUAUUGUCUGCAGCGUCAAAUUCAACUUGCUCAAGUUUGACGCUGAAUUCAUCUUGGCCAACUUCUGUUUAGGCUCCGACUUUUGCCCAUUUCCGCGUUGUUUUUAGCUGUAAAAUUUCUGGCACCUCGGAUGAAAUGUAAUAUCACGUCAUUUUUCUUUUCCUAUAAUAACAAUUUCAUUUACUGCUGUUGUGUCUGGGCUGUAAAAUGAAGUGUAGGGCAUUGCGUGGUUCAUCCCAAUUUUAUUAUUAUAGGGGACCAAAUGUGGUCCACACAAAUCAGUAGACCUACUUCUUGACAGGCCAACAAGUAUUUUAAAACAUCACACACUCCCCUUUUUCCCACUGUAUAGAAAUCGGAAACUUUUCAUAAAAGGGUCAGCCACCCCGAGCUCAAUCUUUCUUCACUUACAACGACCCCCAUCGACUCUUUUCGGCAUCUUAUUUUAUGCAGGCAUGAGAAUAAAGAAGCGAUUAAAAUAAUGCAAGAAAGCAAACAAAGAAGCGUCUAAUGACAUUAAGGGAAUGAUUACGGCCGCCAAAGACGAUAUGUUAAAUAUAGAAAAAUGUGAGCAAACGGGAACAAUUGGCAAAUGUCAACAAAUAGCUUCGUUUGAAUAUCGACCCCGGAAUUGACCAAGACGCUUAACACAAACCUGUAACUAUUUAAGAUAUUCACUUAGGCUUAGUUACGGUUUAUGUCUCUCUGUGCGUUCAACCCCAUUUUUAUUAUUCUAAAACUUUUUUUGAGAAUAAGAUAAAAUCAUUUCUGCUCUAACAUGAAUUUUAAUUCUCUCAUCUGCAACGAUUUUGCGUUUCGUUUGCGGGGUGGGGGAGGGGGGUGCUAAGCCUUUUUCUGCGAAAUAGUGCAGCUGGUUGCUCGUUUCUUGAAGCGAUUCGUGGAAUGCAGUACGGAAACAAACGUUGAUGAAAAUAGACAUGCUGAUUCAUAGGAAUUGUCGCGAAGAUGAUAAGUAUACAGUAGAUUCAAACAGUCAAGCUUAAACAUCGUUACCGAAAGGUUGUCUGUUUAUCCUGAGGAGAAUCGGCUUGGAAAAUAUUAUGGCGUCUUCUGAUCUUAUCAACGUUGCAGCCGACGCCAAUCAAGAAAUUCUGGAUAGAAUUAAAAAAGCGGAAGGCGACGAGGCGGAAUUAUUAAAACAAGUUUUUGAUUCUUUUGAUUCGCUGAGAAAGCUGAUAAGCCAAGUGAUUGAAACUUUCAAGUCGAGUAAGGAUGGUGAAAAGGAAACCAAUGUUACGGACAUGAUUAUGGACAGGAUUAAGAAGGCAAUAGUGGAAAAGAUAAAGAGCAAAGUGGAAGCCAAAAAGAAAAAGGAAGAAGAGUUCCAGCGGGCGAUUGAAGAAGCGCAGAGAAAUUUAAGCGAAAAAAGAAAAGACUUGGAUGACCAAAGCAAACCCAAGUUGCGCGUUUGGCCGUCAUUUUUCGGCCUAUUUGAAUCCAAUGAAGAAUCUGUUGAGAAUGCCCGGCAAACGUUAGAAGAAGCUGAAAAAAGAUUGAAGAAAAUCAAAGAAGAAGCAGAGGACAGUGACAAAAGGUUGAACGAAGAAAUUCAAAGGUGGCAAGCCAUUCCAAUUGAUGAGCUGGAAGAGUCCCUUCAACUGACGUUGGAAUCCACUAGGAAGAAAUCUUUCCCUCAGCCAAAGAGGUUCAAAAUCCCGCAGCCAUUUCUUGGAAAAGAUCCCAAUCACCCAGAGAUUGAAGUGGUUGAAUAUGUUGAGAAAGUAAAACCAAUUCAAGAACCUCAACAAGUUUCAAACUAUGUUACCUCUCCUAUUUCAUCGAAGGAAUUGCACCUUGAUAUUCCACAGCAUUCCAUUAAGAUAGAAGUAAUCGCUGCUGACCAGAUCUCUGGAGGUGAAGAACCUCAACAGAAAUCUUUCCCUCAGCCAAAGAGGUUCAAAAUCCCGCAGCCAGUUCUUGGAAAAGAUCCCAAUCACCCAGAGAUUGAAGUUGUUGAUUAUGUUGAGAAAGGAAAAUCAAUUCUAGAACCUCAACAAGUUUCAAACUAUGUUACCUCUCCUAUUUCAUCGAAGGAAUUGCACCUUGAUAUUCCACAGCAUUCCAUUAAGAUAGAAGUAAUCGCUGCUGAACAGAUCUCUGGAGGUGAAGAACCUCAACAGACACCCUCAAUCAAGGCAUCCCCCGUACCUGAAUCUGAGCAAAAUAAUGCAUCACCUGUACAUACACCUGAUCAAUCCGUUUUCAAUCAUCCAUGCCCUGCACAGAGCCCUGAUCAAGUGACAGAAAUCAAGCCAUCGCCAUUGUAUACAUCUUAUAGAGAAACAUCGCCUCCGAUGCAGCCAUGUAUUGCAGGGCCAUCAGGUGCAAAGAUCUUAAGCGGCGAAGAAAUGAACAGAACGGUGACUUCCACAACAUCUUUGUUUACUGGUGGUGGUUCACCCAUGGACGAGAAGUACAAGAGAUCGCAAUUAGCCUUGAUGAAACAAGCCUGUACAUCAGAGUUGAACCAGUCCAAAAAAACACAAGUAAAUGAGAGUGAUGACAGUUUCAGUGACUCUAGCUGCUCUAGUAUGCCUCUUUUGUUCCUAACGCAGGAAAUUGAUAGUGACGCCAGUUUCGAUGAUUCCCUUACUAUGCCUCAGUUGUUCAAAUCACCCAACUCGGUUGAUGAAACAGACAAGAGCCGUCCUUCGCCAGAUCUACAUUUUGAAGACUCAUUCGAUGAAGAACUAGAUUCUUUGGCAAAGAAAACAUGCUUCGUUUCUUGCAAUUCAGAGACGGAUUUUGGAUUGGAUACUCCCGCUUUGACUCCGCUUAAUCCUCUAACGGAUGAACUGGAAGCUGCAAUGGCCAAGCGGCAUGGUGAAUCUUUGAAUGAAGAACCCGAGGAGGAUAAAAUGCCUCCGUCAAGCAUGACGAAAAUAGUCAAAGAGCAAUCGACAGCCAGCCGCGUAGGGGAGAUCAACGAAGCAAGCUUUGAGGCAAAAUCUAAACCCAAGUCAACACCUAUCCCCAGGGCACUUUCUCGUCAUUCCAGAGAAAUGAAAGAGCUCUUCAAGGACCAGACGGUGCAGAAUAUGUUACGGGACAUCGAGGAACGCGGUUUAAACAAAAGACCAAUAUCUGCAAUUAACUACAAAGAGUUACAUUCUAAUGGUUCAGAUAAAGAAGUGCGAGCUCCUCGCCGUGGCAAACGCGCCAAAAAGGAUGACUCUAGUAUUGAUUAUGAGUUGACACCCCCAAGGAAGAAGAAGAUGUCACGAACAACUUCGACUCCUGUUGUGGAUUCAUCCCCACAAGAUCAAGCGCUACAGCAAUGGGAACCAAUUCUCAAUUCAACCAAUGAAGACAAAGUGGUUUACGUUCCUCGUAAACUGGCCAAUCCUGCUGAUAGCUCGGUAAUCGUUGGCCGACAAACUAUUUCCUCAGACCCCAGCGCCGACGGCAUUCAGAACAACAACCCGAAGACUCCACAUUCUCUAGAAGGAGCGCAGCGUUCCCCGUUGAGCGAUCAUUCUUACGCAGCUGUCGAAAGUUCGCAUGAGCUGGGAUCCGCCGACGAUUUAGUGUCCAAACUGAGCGCCAAAUGUCAGGAGAUUCAAAUCAGUUGUAGAGAUCAGCUGCUUUGUAUAAAACUCUGCCCCAGGACAUCUAUUUUACGCAACAGUCUGAAUUCUAAUAUUUUGAAAGAGCUGUCCUUGUUGUUGCGAAAGCUGAAAAUGGAGACAUCAAUUCACGUGGUCUUAAUCACCUCAUCUGGACCGGAUUUCUGCAACGGAAUCGACUUUCCUUCCCUUAUCCACGAGAAUAUGGCUCAAAGGCUGGAAUCAGCCAUGACCAUCGUGAGUAACCUCCAGGAGUUUAUUACGGAACUGGCCAACUGUGACAAACUGCUGAUUGGAGGCCUGGUGGGAUCUGUAAUGGGCUUGGGUGUUGCUAUGCUCCCUUACCUGGAUGCAGUGUACGCUUGUGAUAAAACCUCAUUUUGUUUGCCGUACGUCAAACUCGGACAAAGCUACGAAGGUGGCCUAUCGCUGACUCUUCCAUUGGUGUCCAGGAAUUUGGUUAAGUUGCUGUUCUGUGAAGGCCGACGUCUCACGGCCACGCAGGCUAAAGAUUAUGGCUUGAUACAAGACGUCUGUUUGCCGGAUAAUUUCGAAAAAGAAGUCGUGCUCCGCGCCUGUAAAAUCGCAGCCGAAUUUACCCAGAGCUCGCUGGACGGCAAGAGAAUGAGUCAGUCUUCACUCCGCCGUGACCUUCCUGACGUCCUAAAAAAAGAAUCGCAGCUGUUACGGCGAACUUGGAUUUCCGACGACUUCCAGCGACGAGCCAAGCAAUUAUACGCCAACGGAGAUUUGCUGUCGUCGUUGUAGAGCACCGCCUACGAGCUGCAAUUGAUCCAGUCGUCCCCAAAUCCAAAUUAACGACAAACCGGAACGUCUUCUCUGGCUGCCGCAUCGUAAUAGUCGCGUCGGAUCAUGACCAUGUUUAGAUUGGCCAGGCAACGGCGCAGGAUCAAAUUCAUGACCUAAACAUAACCAAAAUCGUCACUUAUCUAUUGGCAAACAUUUUAAUUAUUUUAAAAACUUACGCUGUUGUAAACAGGAUCGCCCGCCUGAAUUUCGUUUUUAAAAUCCAAGGUUAUUUUGACGUCAGUUUCAUCGGACGUCCGUCUCGACGCCAAUUCCAGCGGCUGUCGUAAAACAAUUGCAAAAAUGGAGUUGCCAUGGGAUCAUUUGACAUUUUGGAUAAUUUUAUACUUGGGCCAGACGAGUCGUGUUGUAGAGUAGAGUCCCGUCGAACACGUAUUUGCCCAGGGUUCUUUCGUGAACGCGAAUGAGAGCUUUUUUGACGCCGGGAUGGUCGAUUUCCGGUGUGAAAUCGACGCGGUAUUGCAACAAAUGCAUAUCCGGUUUCUUAAUCAACUGAAAGUAAUUGGAGCGCACAUCCAGCGGAGCUCCUCCCGAUCCUAAAUUUUAUGCAAACAAUUUUUUAACGUUUUUUAACAUUAUUCCAGGAAUUUGUUUUGUUAUUUUUUGAAAAUAUAACCAGUUUUGACGAAUGUCGGCGAGGGUCUUGUGACAACAUGCCGGUUGGCUUCUCGGUCUGGUGCCCUUUGGACUUCGAUGGCUGUCGCCCCUGCCACAUUCCCUGGGGUUUGAAUGGCUGCUGGAGCAGUCCCAACAGGUCCAGCAGUUGUCACCUGUGGUGCAGUUCGCACAGCUCCGCGUCCAAUUCCCUGUUGUUCGUAGGAAAAAUAGAAUUAGAUUUUAUUAAAAUACCUGGGCGGACCCUUUUGAAAUUCAAAUUUUUACCGCCCUUCCGUCAGUCAAAUUUCAGACUGACACAUUUUAAAAAGAAAAUCUAAAUUGUGGAAAGCAACAAGUUGACAGGUGACUCUGCCUUUUAUGGGGUAAAUAGACAAACAUACAACACAUGACCUUAGGGGAUUAUCUGCCUUAGGCUGUACGGAGGAAAGCUCCCAACAACAAACCAACUAACGUCUACCAGGUCUACCUGCGAAAUUGGCGGAUUAUCUCCUGGUCGUCUGGGCGCUUGUUGUGGCGGUGCAUUUGAACGUCCUCUGCCACCAGCUCUUUUUGUUGCGUCUGCCAUUCUUGACUCGCUCUGAUGAACUGAAUAUCCGCUUCCCAGAGGUUCUUGGCCGCGCUCACCCUCCGACAAAAACCCCUCCAGACAUACUACUACAACAACAACAAACACAACACUAUACGGUCAGUGGAAGACCAAGCCCCGCCCACAAUUUGAAAACCUUGGCUCAUCUCCCAGCGCCGCAAUUGCGGCCCAGUUGGAGUAAGUAGAAAGAGAAAGGCUAGCUCGAAUUUCUUGGUCGGGGUGAUAUGGGAAAUUGCUCUUUUCCCAAGUCAUCAAGUCAGCCGGGUGCGAUAUAUGGCGGCGCUAACUAUUUUUGGGGUUAAGGUCCAGAUGUUGGGAGACACACACGUGUACUGUGUCGACUCGCUAUUUUUUUCUUUGUUGGCGAUAAACAAUAUAAAGGCAGCUGCGCUAGGACCAAUGGGAUUUGGAAACGUUUAUACUGUUUUAUAUAUUUUCUUUACUGAGAAAUAAAAUUCGUUUGUACCGUUGGCUGUUUUGCAGUCAGGAAAAACAUGAGCGUUCUUUGAGGUCAUUACGCCCGUAAGGGAUUCGGGGAUUCCUAGUAGAAAAAUUUCUUUUAUUAAAAAAUAUUUUUGUGUUUUUUUUUUUACAAAGAUGCGUCUAUUUGGCUUGGGGGUGUUGCUUAUAUGUUUCGCUUUUGGUGAAGCUGUUUUCCAUAUUUUAAAAUAACGGAGAAGUUGAACUUGAUAUAUUUCGUUGGUUUCAUCUCAUUUUCCUGGAUGUUAAUACUUUGUAAAGAAAGUUAUUGUUUUUGGCACUGGGGUGUCAGAAUUUCGAAACAAAAAUAGUCAUUAAGAGGUUGUGAAUAUACAAGGAAAAUUUUUUUAUUGACAUUGACCACACACUCACACAGUUUUAGAUUACAUCGUUCGUUAGCUCUCGUCAAGUUAAUUAAGAGGACUUUUUGUGGUUUCAUCACGCCUUCUUGAUCAGGAAACUAUUAUUCGGUUUAAACAUGUUGAGAUGGUGUACUAUAUAGAUUGCCCAGUAUUUUUUUUUUACCUGAGUUCCGCAUUGUAGGUAGGCCGUCGCUCCGUAGGGUCUUCCAGGAGGGGGAAACUCUUUUAUAGGAAUGAAUCCAUCCUCCAUAUUUUCCCCGGAGGGGCUGGUGUAAAUCUUUCCUUUGUGUUCUGACCACAACAGCAGCCAUCAGCUGCAACGUGUACAAUAUUUAAAAGUUAUUUGAUAGUAUUCAACUCAUUUCUUUUGAACUUGUACCAUUUUCACCCGUAAAUUUAUGUCAAAUUAGUCACCUCUGUUGGGGUACCGGAUAUGACUUUGCUCAAUGGAAGAAUUCAACCCUCGAUAACAUUCGAAUUUAAACUUUCAAACGAUUCAAAUUUACUUAACCGUGUCUUAUAGGUUCCGACCUGCUGGAUUUGGAUAGGGGCCACCAUAAUAAAAAGCUUAGUUGAGUCUACCGUGUUGCUGAAAAUAGGGUGGAAAACACAACGGCGCAACAACCAUUGGACUAAUUUAUGUCUCAAAAUUUUGUAAUUGCCAAGUUUUAAGGAAGCCAGCAAUUACGUUGGGUAGGAAAGGCUUUAACAGUCAUGAGAUUAUUUCAGUGUAGGCCUUCCUUGGCUUUGUAGAACAGCAACACGAAAAUGAACAAAGAAAAGGUAUAGAUUUGGUUGUUCAGACAGGUUUUGAAGGUAAAGUUGACAUGGCAAUCUUGAUUGAUUUUUCAAGACUAACAAAAAUGUAUUUUCCCUUUUUCAGUUUCCAUCUUAUCCUUUGAAUCAUUUUUAACCGUCUAGCCCAUUUCCAGUUUUGUUUCAAAACUGCAUCUCUCGGCACUACAGCAUACAAAUGAGACACAUAUAGGCCGAGACAGCGUACAGACCCCUGGGAUCUUUUACAACAUAGUCUUUGACUUUGACAAUAAAUCCAACAGUUUGUUUUAGACCAAGUUUUAAACCAUCCAGACAUAUAUCUCAGCAGACGUUGGUCUCCAUGCAACUUUGGAACACUAUCGGAUUUCACAUGCCUAUACCCCGUUUCAAAUUUAAAAGUUGGUUCAAUUUCGUGUGUGUUUCAUUUUGCGCUAGUUUUAUUUUUUAUUUUAUUAUUUUAUUUUUAAAACAUUUUGGGGUUCGUGGAAAUGAAAAGGCGAAUAUGAGAAACGUGACCUCAACGAAUGUCUUGAAAUAGAUUUCAACAGAAGGCCAACUGGACGAACCAUAAAAUUUUAUCUGAUGGGAAAUUUGAUAAAGUUUUAAGAUAGGCUUUUUUGAUUAAUGAACACAUGCGCUGGAUGGUGAUUGCAAUUAUAAUCUACUGGUUUAAAUAAUGUGGGAAAUAUUGGGUGGUCUUCAUUUAAGAUGCUAUAUCCUAUAUUUUAGUUUAUACAAUAAUAAGGAAGAUAUGGUGCAGACAAGAAUGAAAAAGCGGAAACAGUAUCGAUCCAUUUGAUAGCGAGUUCAAGUUGGGAGAGGCCAUUCAAGCUCUUUGUUGGAUAAUGAUUCACGGCCGCUCAUUGGGGUGGCGACCCUCUGUUACCGAACAAAAUUUCCCCCCUUCUAAUUCGUUCCCAUGACUCAAUUCAGUAUAAUUAUGUGUAAUUUCUGGUCUCAAGUCUCGUAACCAGAGCCAUUUACUAAGUAAUGGCUCUGUCGUAACUAGCUGAUUUGUUUCCACAUUUCAGUUUGUCCAAGAGACUGUGGAAUUCGCCCUUUGGCAUGGCAACGGAUGGAAAGGCAAAAUUACAUUCGGCAACAGAGAGUCGGGUUCGGGCAGUUGGCACGAUAAGUGACUGUAAUUAGAGUAGAGCGUGACUCAAAUAGACCGUGAUCAUAUAAAUUGUCACGAUUUACGAUUACGAAUACAAAAUUCGAACAGCCCGCCGCGUAUUUUAACGAAUUUGUUUACACGUGGCAACGUCGCGCUUUUGUUUCAAAAUCUUUUCGGCUUUCACUGACGUUUCGAAUUUCGGCUGUUAUUUUGGAGCAAACAUUGUAUGUUUGUAUCAGUUGACGUAAUUCUAGAUAGAAAAUCUUUAGUUCUCUUUUAAACUUAAUUGACGGUUUGAAAAUGGCCGAAAGUGACGAAAAUGCACAAGAUCAAGUUGAUGAAGAGUCUCGCCUAAGUCUUCUCAAUGAUGCACUAGACCAAGCCUCCAAAAAAAUCAUGAACAAAAUUUUAAGUCAAAAGGCUUUUGCAGAAUGUCUUCCGUUUUUGAAAAGGAAAACUCUCGCUCUGUUGCAUACCAUUUUUGGUCAAAAAUUACAGUCCAAAUUAAAGGAAGAAAUUGACGAUCUUUUUUCAUUUCUUAAUCUAAAAGAGAAGCUUGAUUUUCUUGAUAAAAUUGACUUAGAACAAGCAGAGUUAUCUCAGGGUGAAACUGUCUGGAGACCGACGGGAGAUCCAUCUAAGGAUAUGCUGGCUUACGACAUGCCUGCCUUGCAGUCACAUAAAGAAGAACUUUUGUCAUCUCUAAAAGAACUUCAAGCGGAAAAUGAGAAUGAAAAGAAAAAGAUCCUCAAAGUUGUGGAAGGCAUCAGUGAAACUGAAAAACAAAUCGAGGGACUAUUGAUUAAGAAUGAGAAAACACUCAAAGUUUUAUCCAGCUUUCCAAGUUUAUAAUCUCAAUGUAUUUUUUUUAUUCUGUACAUUACAUCAAAUUUCCCCAA